rnacentral:lncRNA from 1 species
CGCCACCGAGAAGGUGGAGACGGCGGGGAAGGUGGACGCCGCUGGGAAGGUGGAGACGGCGGAGGGUCCGGGCCGCCGGGCUGAGCUCAAGCUGGAGCCCGAACCCGAGCCGGUCCGGGAGGCGGAGCAGGAGCCGAAGCAGGAGCUGGAGGAUGAGAACCCAGCGCGGAGCGGCGGUGGCGGCAACAGCGACGAGGUUCC